GAUGAACGCUGGCGGCGUGCCUAAUACAUGCAAGUCGAGCGAACAGACGAGGAGCUUGCUCCUCUGACGUUAGCGGCGGACGGGUGAGUAACACGUGGAUAACCUACCUAUAAGACUGGGAUAACUUCGGGAAACCGGAGCUAAUACCGGAUAAUAUAUUGAACCGCAUGGUUCAAUAGUGAAAGACGGUUUUGCUGUCACUUAUAGAUGGAUCCGCGCCGCAUUAGCUAGUUGGUAAGGUAACGGCUUACCAAGGCAACGAUGCGUAGCCGACCUGAGAGGGUGAUCGGCCACACUGGAACUGAGACACGGUCAAGACUCCUACGGGAGGCAGCAGUAGGGAAUCUUCCGCAAUGGGCGAAAGCCUGACGGAGCAAAGCCGCGUGAGUGAUGAAGGUCUUCGGAUCGUAAAACUCUGUUAUUAGGGAAGAACAAAUGUGUAAGUAACUAUGCACGUCUUGACGGUACCUAAUCAGAAAGCCACGGCUAACUACGUG
rnacentral:rRNA from 1 species